CACGUAGUUAGCCGUGACUUUCUGGUUGAUUACCGCCAAAUAAAGGCCAGUUACUACCUCUAUCCUUCUUCACCAACAACAGAGCUUUACGAUCCGAAAAUCUUCUUCACUCACGCGGCGUUGCUCCAUCAGACUUGCGUCCAUUGUGGAAGAUUCCCUACUGCUGCCUCCCGUAGGAGUUUGGGCCGUGUCUCAGUCCCAAUGUGGCCGAUCAGUCUCUCAACUCGGCUAUGCAUCGUCGCCUUGGUAAGCCGUUACCUUACCAACUAGCUAAUGCACCGCGGGGCCAUCCCUUAGCGACAGCUUACGCCGCCUUUCAAAAGCUGAUCAUGCGAUCUGCUUUAUUACUCCGGUAUUAGCACCUGUUUCCAAAUGGUAUCCCAGUACUUAGGGCACGGUUCCCCACGUGUUACCUCACCCAUCCGCCGCUCGCUUUCCCAAUCGUCAUUACCGAAGUAAAUCUGUGGUUCCGCUCGCUCGACUUGCAUGGUAUUAGGGCCACGG
rnacentral:rRNA from 1 species